rnacentral:rRNA from 1 species
GACGAACGCUGGCGGCGUGCCUAAUACAUGCGAGUUGAGCGCUGAAGGUUGGUACUUGUACCGACUGGAUGAGCAGCGAACGGGUGAGUAACGCGUGGGGAAUCUGCCUUUGAGCGGGGGACAACAUUUGGAAACGAAUGCUAAUACCGCAUAAAAACUUUAAACACAAGUUUUAAGUUUGAAAGAUGCAAUUGCAUCACUCAAAGAUGAUCCCGCGUUGUAUUAGCUAGUUGGUGAGGUAAGGGCUCACCAAGGCGAUGAUACAUAGCCGACCUGAGAGGGUGAUCGGCCACAUUGGGACUGAGACACGGCCCAAACUCCUACGGGAGGCAGCAGUAGGGAAUCUUCGGCAAUGGACGAAAGUCUGACCGAGCAACGCCGCGUGAGUGAAGAAGGUUUUCGGAUCGUAAAACUCUGUUGGUAGAGAAGAACGUUGGUGAGAGUGGAAAGCUCAUCAAGUGACGGUAACUACCCAGAAAGGGACGGCUAACUACGUG